UACGUAGGGUGCGAGCGUUGUCCGGAAUUAUUGGGCGUAAAGGGCUCGUAGGCGGCCAACUAAGUCAGACGUGAAAUCCCCAGGCUCAACCUGGGAACUGCGUCUGAUACUGGAUGGCUUGAAUCCGGGAGAGGGAUGCAGAAUUCCAGGUGUAGCGGUGAAAUGCGUAGAUAUCUGGAGGAAUACCGGUGGCGAAGGCGGCAUCCUGGACCGGCAUUGACGCUGAGGAGCGAAAGCUAGGGGAGCAAACGGG
rnacentral:rRNA from 1 species